GGGGGUAUAGCUCAGUGGUAGAGCAUUUUACUGCACCUCAAGAGAUUCCCCCAGUUCAAAUUUGUGUGCCCCCU